CGGAAUGUUCAUCCCGUACACUCACCUCGCUCUAGAACGGGCAAAGCCCAUUAUCAGCCGCACACAGACCCACACCCCGAUCCAGGAGCCGGCCUCAAAUGAGGCCACCCAUUGAUCUGAUGGGGGAUUACACAGUUUUAUGACAUCCAAAGGCUGUUUUGAGAGCUACAAAGGUCCACUGCAACUCUGUCUUCUGUGGGUUACUCUGUAGCCUGGCACCUGAGGCCUAGUAAUUACUUGGACACUGCUGGCCCUCUCGGGGGUCCAACAGAGAAGUGAAGUAGGCCGCCUGUUUUCAGCAUCUCCAUCCUUGACAGCACACAAGCCCCAACAUGAUUGCAUCUGCUGUCUUCUCAAAUUGUACUGUACAUCCUACAAACUAAAAUAGCUGGGAAUGGAAUACCCUGUCAAUAUCAUAUAACACCAGGCCAGAAACAACAGGAUUUAUUUUACAUUGUCCAAAUCCUACGCAAAUACUUAGCUCUACAUAGCAAUUGUUCUUGUUGCCACUCUCCCAAAUUAUGCACAAAGUUUAAGCAUGAACUAGCCUCCAUCAAACUAGUGGAGAAGAUCUUCUACAAAGUUGCACUAUAUUCUACCUACAUCCACAAUCCUAGCCAAGUCUGCAACUGAACAAACUUAUAUAACCCUUCACCCUAUUCUUGCUCUAGGUACGUUUCCCUGGCAUCAUUUCAUAGUUGCCCACGUUCCUCUCAAAGUACGUCUACCCGAACUUAACACUACCGGGCUUAGACGUGUGGCCAGAUUUGUCUAAUGCUUUUGAAAAGAUAAUUAAUUUAUGGUAUUCCUAAGGCUAUAUAUUACUUGGUACAAUGCCAACUGUUUUAUUUAAGAAUGUGUGUGUGUACAUACAUACACUCAAAACCAUACAUGACGUAUAUCAUCCUAAACUGAUUUCUUUAAAUUUAUUAAUUCUGCACUCUCAUCUUCUUGUUCUGUAUGUGGUAAGUUCACAUUCCCGUCUAUUAUUGAAUUUUAAUAUUUGUUUUAUCAAGUGCUCUACAGUACUAUUCAACAUUUUUCAGGUUUUAUUGAUUUAUAUGUAUGCCAUUUCUUGUCUGUACAUAAUCUAUUUCAUCCAUCUUAAAUUCAUUCCUUGUUUUGUAUGUGAUUGGUGUAAAUGCUCAGCUUCUCCAUUAUAUACAAUGAGAGCAGCUGGUUGGGGUUAAAGUAAUUAAAAAUAUUAAUCAAAUUCCCAAUGCUUGGUUGCAGGUUUCCAGCAAUAACUGGAAGAAGAAAUCAAUGUCCUGCCAUCAGGUUGGAGGCUACCUUGAUGGAACAUGAGGCAUUGCUGUUCUAAAGUGAGAGUGGCCUCAUCAGGGUGGGAGAAGAGGGCAUGGACUAACAUGUCAGAAUGGGAAUGGCAACUGGGAUUAAAAUGGUUGCCCACUGAGAAAUCCUACUUUUUGUGGACGGAUCGAAGGUGUUGGGCAAAGCACCCCCCAGUUGACGUCGGGUCUCACCGAUGUACAGGAGGAUGCAGUGGGAACACCAGAUACAGUAGAUGACCCUAACAGAUCACCAAUGUAGAGGUGGCUGUGUCGGGAGCACUGACAUAGACUGAGGGAUUGUUUUGUUGAGAACUUGAUGAAAAUGUGAAUAAGAAGUUGGAGAGACUGGCCAGAGAAGCCAAUGGCUAAUAUCUUGGUGUUACUUGGUAUAACUAAUACCUUACUUAAAAAAUUCUUAGUAAUAUUUACAAAGUAUUGUAUUUGUAUGGAUUGGCUUUUGCACAUUGAUUUGAUAUCAGUCUUUGUGUGUUUUUCAUUGAUUCUAUUGUACUUUUGUUCUACCAUGAAUUCCUGCAAGAAAAUGAAUUCUUGGUAGUAUUUGGUGACAUAUGUGUUUUUCAAUAAUAAAUUUACUUUGAACUUUG